ACGGGUGAGUAAUGCCUAGGAAUCUGCCUGGUAGUGGGGGACAACGUUUCGAAAGGAACGCUAAUACCGCAUACGUCCUACGGGAGAAAGCAGGGGACCUUCGGGCCUUGCGCUAUCAGAUGAGCCUAGGUCGGAUUAGCUAGUUGGUGGGGUAAUGGCUCACCAAGGCGACGAUCCGUAACUGGUCUGAGAGGAUGAUCAGUCACACUGGAACUGAGACACGGUCCAGACUCCUACGGGAGGCAGCAGUGGGGAAUAUUGGACAAUGGGCGAAAGCCUGAUCCAGCCAUGCCGCGUGUGUGAAGAAGGUCUUCGGAUUGUAAAGCACUUUAAGUUGGGAGGAAGGGCAGUAAGCGAAUACCUUGCUGUUUUGACGUUACCGACAGAAUAAGCACCGGCUAACUCUGUGCCAGCAGCCGCGGUAAUACAGAGGGUGCAAGCGUUAAUCGGAAUUACUGGGCGUAAAGCGCGCGUAGGUGGUUUGUUAAGUUGGAUGUGAAAGCCCCGGGCUCAACCUGGGAACUGCAUCCAAAACUGGCAAGCUAGAGUACGGUAGAGGGUGGUGGAAUUUCCUGUGUAGCGGUGA
rnacentral:rRNA from 1 species